GCGGAAGCGGCGGAUUCCCGCAGUCGCACCUGGGCGCGCAGGACUCUCCCUGGGUUCAAUACUCAACGCUCUCCGACCUUCAGUUUCUUCACUUGUAAAAUGGAGGAAAGCACGGUACCUCUAGUCUUGCUCUGGUCUUCUGUCCUUUCUAAAAAAAAAAAAAAUGCCUUUGAAGAAAGUCUUGAAGCCAAGGCAAUGGUGGCUUCCCUUCAUGCGGUGGAGCCCCAGAAAAGAACUUCUAUGAUGGACAUGAGAGAUGCCAUUAAAGAGAAAAGAUGCCAAAAUGGAAAAUGAUGAAGGAAACCCUCGGAGCCGCACUCGGAGAACGAAACUUUUCAGAGCCUCGAGGCUCUUUGUCCCCCACAGUUGUCAACCUACCAUAUGUUCAAACGUGUAUCUGUACCUCUGCUCCAAGUACACGAGCCUGUUCUAACUGAACUCUAACCCAAGACGGGUGGCGGAGCCACGGCCUUAAGUUCUCUCUCCACCAAAUCACGUCCUGGGGGCAGCACAUGGCCACAGACGACAGGGCCUGGGGGUGUCGCGGGCAGGGCAGGUCGUGCUGGUCUCACCCUCAGGCCCUGUGACCCGAGGCGUCUACAGUUGGCCCAGGGGAGGCACGAGGGCUUCCCUGGCUGCCCCAGGCCCGAGAGGUUCCUGCGGCACUGCGGCCCUGGUACUCCCUCCCGGGGGUCUGGCCCGGACGCUCUGUCCCGCAGCCUGCAGCAGCCCGGGCUGCCCCCUCCCAGUCCCCGAUCCGGCCGCAUCUUCAGGGGCUGGCGGCUCCUGGCUGCCUGGCCCUUCGCCCACAGUCGGCUCCGGCUGUGCCAGCGCUUUCCGAGCUGCCCUGAGCUGCUGGAGAAGCUGACUUUUCCCGGUACAGUCCCUGCAACAGUGAAAGCAGCCUCAGUCGGCAUCAGCAUCGAGCAGAGGUCAAACCCCAGCCCCUCCCUGCUGAAAUGACUCGCUUCAGCUCCCAUUUCAAAAUCGACUCAUUGGGAAAGAAAAUAAGGACGUGAUUUGGGCAACCUCCGCCAACAGCGGGAACCCGCCUGGAACCGGGGGUGGGGUGAGUGAUGCUCAGGGAGGCCGAGUAGCCGUCCUCCAAGAGCAACUCUGGAGGCCCCGAGAGGCUCCCCACCCAGCAGGCGAGGCAACGAGACAAAUGUCACCUCUGCCUCUGCUGAGUUCCAUCUCCAACCACUAGAUAAUUCCAGAAAGACCGUGUGGGCCUGAGGUGUCCUUAUCAAAGCAGCUCUCCAGUGGAGUUGGGCCAAUUUCCCUGGAGGGGACAUCCUGGUUGUCUCACAGUCUGGAUCUAACUGCCAUUUACUGAAUCUUUCUGGGCACCCUGCCCUGGAACCGGCCCUUUCAUGUGAAUCCAUUGAGGGAGCUCUAAAAUCCUCCCCCAUUUACAGAGAAGGACACCCAGGCCUGGCAAAAUCAGCCGUUUUGCUGGAGGUCACCAGGGAGUAAGCAGAUUUGAGCCCAGAUCUGUCGAACCCACUAAUCCUGACUCUGUCGUCUGGAGAAACACAAAUCUUUGCUAAGUGGUGUUGAGAGUAGGGAAAAGACACUUUGAUGGCCUGUCAACAGACCUGACACAAACACAGAAGACCGGCACUUCUCAGAAGUGUGUUCCCCAGCUCUCGAGAUGGCAUCACUAUGUUACGGCAGUGCAUAUCAGCUUCUUAAAGGUCUCAGAGAAGAAACCGGUUUAAUUUUGCUCGACCCCACUUUUUCUCCUGUUUUUUUCCUAUAUUGUCAGGAGCCACAUUUGGGGAAAAGCUGCAGUGGACCCCUGGGGUUCACAAGGCAGAUCUCCAAGCUUUGCAGUACAGCAUAUAAUGAGCUCCAUGACCACAGGGUGGGGCCUCCUUCCUGUUGGGACUGCAGCCUCCUCUGAAUUUGCUGUUUUACUUUUUAAUUUACCCAAACCUUCGCAUUCCUGGCUAACAACUUUAUUCCAUCCCCCUGCUUUCCCUCCACUGCCAUCGCCAUCACAUCCAGGGAGCAAAAUAAAUUUGGGGAACAUUUUUCAGGAAGAAAGUGGGCUAAUCCCCUUUUGAGAGCGAGCUAGGGUGUCUUCGAUGACGGCUAGAGAACCGCAGGCCUGGCUGGGCAGGAGAGACAAAGCCACAGUGCCCCCCCACCACCUCCCAGCCCUGCCCACACCCUUGCAAGUGCAGGCUUUCAACACGCCAGGUCACGGGCUUGCUGUGAAGCAGAGAUGGAGCCCCCCGGGGCGGCAGGGGACCCUUUGUGCAAUCCGAUGGGCCCUGGUGGUCACCUUAGUUGCUGGGAGGAGAGACACGCCCUCUCUGCUGGGCCCUGCUGGGCUCUCAAAGUCGCCAGCUCCUCCUUCUCUUCCUCCUCCUCCUCCUCCUCCUCCUCCUCCUCACUGUCAGAGGAGCUGCAGGCGGAGCUGGGGAGGAGAGGACACGUGGCUUUGCUGAUGUGCCCCGGUCCACCCAGCCAGGCCCGCCUUCCACCAGGGACCUGGAGGGCUCAGGCCUCCAUGGCCACCAAGGCAGGAGGGGGCUGCCCAGCCAGCCGAAGCCCAAGGGCCACUUGGGCUUCCUGCCAAGCAGUGGAGAGAGGGUACAGCCCAGAUGAAGUUUGCUUAGCGCCCCAUCUAAGGCAGUGUGUCCCCUGUCCCUGCAUCUCCCCUCCUGCUGAUGGAACCAGGUGGGGUUGCUGGCCAGGACUAGUUCUUGGCUAAAAACAGUUCUUAAUUGAGCAGCGUUCCACUUGGUCUCCCCCUGCGCAAAGCUGUGAGCUCCUGGGGGGCUUCCACUGCUCCCCCUACCUCCUCGAGGACUGGCGGCCUGAUGGCUCAGUCUGCCGCAGGUCAAUGAAGAUGGUGGGUGGCUCUGCCGGGCUCCGCAGCCUCAGUUCCUCCGCCAGCUUGUGGCCUGGCUUGGCCGAAGCACGCCUGAGGCAAGAAAGAGCACUGUGUGCUGGGCACUGGGCCAGGCACCUGAGACCCAGUCACUCUUCUCUUUAGAACCACCCUCGAGGCAGACCAGCGCCAUCCACUAGGACUUCCCACAUGAGCGGGCCUGCUCUUUAUCUGUCCUGUCCAGUGUGGCAGCCAACCAGUCGAGUUGAAGUCAAAUUAAUAAAUAAAGUGUUUUCAGUUCCUCAGCCCCACUGGCCACAUUUCAAGGGCCUUAUCGCCACGUGUGGCCAGUGGUUACUGGACAGCACAGGUCUAGACUUAUGGAUCAGACAGAAGUGAC